rnacentral:rRNA from 1 species
AGAGUUAUGGCUCAGGAUGAACGCUAGCGACAGGCUUAACACAUGCAAGUCGAGGGGCAUCACGGGAGUAGCAAUACAACUGGUGGCGACCGGCGCACGGGUGAGUAACGCGUAUCGCAACCUACCUAUCAGAGGGGAAUAACCCGGCGAAAGUCGGACUAAUACCGCAUAAAACAGGGGCACCGCAUGGUGAUAUUUGUUAAAGAAAUUCGCUGAUAGAUGGGCAUGCGUUCCAUUAGGUAGUUGGUGAGGUAACGGCUCACCAAGCCGACGAUGGAUAGGGGAACUGAGAGGUUGGUCCCCCACACUGGUACUGAGACACGGACCAGACUCCUACGGGAGGCAGCAGUGAGGAAUAUUGGUCAAUGGGCGGGAGCCUGAACCAGCCAAGUCGCGUGAAGGGAAAAGAAGGAUCUAUGGUUCGUAAACUUCUUUUGCAGGGGAAUAAAGUGCAGGACGUGUCCUGUUUUGUAUGUACCCUGAGAAUAAGGAUCGGCUAACUCCGUGCCAGCAGCAGC